UUUUGUAUCUUGGGCACGUCCCAUGUUAAUUGCAUUUCCUUGAAAUACCAAAACUGAAUGCACACAGAAUACUGAAAACAGUGAAUGUUUUCAGAUGAUUUGGUGUAGGAAAGGAAGCUGAAUCCAUAUUCUGCUUUUACAAGAAAAAAAGCCUCUGUAUGGGAAUGAGGCUGCACACAUAAAGAACGUUUCUGACUUCGAAUUCUUGGUUGUGGCAGCUUCCUCUUAUCUCAUUCUUCAUAUCUUUGAGACAUUUAUUUUACAGGGUGGUUUUGUCUUGCCUUUUCUAGGAACUCUGAAUUUCUUCCACAGUGUAGUCACAACAUGAUGUGGAGAGGCAGACUCUGUUCUCAAUUCCUGCCUGAAUAUGCAGUUUAAACAUCACCCUCUACAACCCAAAAGAAACUGUGUGCUCUAUCAAGGUACUCACUAGAAAAAUAUUGGUGAACCUGAAUGGACAAAUGCCAGGUGGUAAUUUGUAAGCAGACAAAAAGCCCAGAAUUCACCAUUGUGCCAUGUGGUAGGGCCAAACUUCAGCAAGGCUGGAUAUGAUCUGGAAGCUGCAUGUUUACAGGAGGG